GACGAACGCUGGCGGCGUGCUUAACACAUGCAAGUCGAACGGAAAGGCCCUGCUUUUGUGGGGUGCUCGAGUGGCGAACGGGUGAGUAACACGUGAGUAACCUGCCCUUGACUUUGGGAUAACUUCAGGAAACUGGGGCUAAUACCGGAUAGGAGCUCCUGCUGCAUGGUGGGGGUUGGAAAGUUUCGGCGGUUGGGGAUGGACUCGCGGCUUAUCAGCUUGUUGGUGGGGUAGUGGCUUACCAAGGCUUUGACGGGUAGCCGGCCUGAGAGGGUGCCCGGCCACAUUGGGACUGAGAUACGGCCCAGACUCCUACGGGAGGCAGCAGUGGGGAAUAUUGCACAAUGGGCGGAAGCCUGAUGCAGCAACGCCGCGUGCGGGAUGACGGCCUUCGGGUUGUAAACCGCUUCCGCCUGUGACGAAGCGUGAGUGACGGUAAUGGGUAAAGAAGCACCGGCUAACUACGUG
rnacentral:rRNA from 1 species